CUCCCCGCCGGCUCCGGAGGCGGCCGCGGCGCGGCCCGAGCCGGGCGGCGGUGGGGCCCCGCGGGGCGCCGGGUGGGAGCCGAGGCCUCCGCGGACCCCGCAGCCCCGCAGCCGGCGAAUGGAUCCCACCUCUGCAGAGACAAAGGAGCUGCUCCAGAGAACACCAGCUGAAAGUAAAUGUCCUUGAGGGCCCCAGCAUUCUCCUCAUCAUUAAUGCACGGGCAUGAUCAUCCAGGCUUCAGAACCUGCCUGGAAGAGAUGCCGGAAGAAGCAUCAAACACCAGGGAAGCAGAGGACACAAGCUUGGAUGUGAAAUAGCAACACCUUAUGCACUGAAGAAUAAUAAAACAAUGUUUUUAAUUACAAAA